AUGCUUGCAUUUCACAGAAUGCUCAGGAGUCAGACUUCAGGAUACUGUGUGAUGCAGCCACUCUCACGUUCAUCAUCCAGUGUAAGCAGUUGUUGUAGUGGAUUGAGGGAAAAUGGAACAUCAGAGGAAGAGGAGAAUGACAGGGAGCUGACGUGCUCACUUAAGGGCCCUCCAAAAAAGGAUUCAAUGAUUCAGAGUAUGUGGCUGGAUGACAAUGACUGCACACCCAGUACUUCUAGCUCACCAGGAAGCAGGUUGCUUCCUUCCAGCAGUGUUGCUGGCUCCACUGGAAAAGGAAAAGGCAGCAAAGCAGAGGCUCAGCACCAUAAUCCAGCCUCCAUUUUGUGCUGUGUGUGAUGUCGGCGCUGGAGCACUGCCUGCCGCACGCAGGGUGAGCAGCACAGACUACAUGACUGGAAGUCCCUCACAGCCAUAUCCAAAUCACCUUUGGAUAGGCAGAAAUUAGGGCAUCCUUGAGGAAGCAAAACAGAGUCUACUUCAGUUACCAGCUGAACCUACAGUGGUGUUCACAACUGUUCUCCAAAGACAUUCCUGUAAAACUUGCAUUAGUUAAAAACCCCUGCAAGGUUUGGGGUUGGUGCCCAUGAAUGCACAUGUGUGGUGGCCUCCUCAAAUAUCAGUGACUGCAGAGCAAGUGUAUCAAAUACUGUCCAGGAUGGGGACAAUUCCUUUUAAAAUACUUGAUUGGUUCCCUAGAUUCUUUUUUGGGCUGUAAUUUUGUGUCCUUCCCAGCUGCCAUGAUGCAAAGUAAAAGGAAGCAUUAAUAUCUUAGCCUGUGCUUCUUAUAUCUAUGUAGUACACUGGACUUAAAAUAAAAAGAGAAUGUGGCCAGUUUCUCUUAGGUUU
rnacentral:lncRNA from 1 species